UACGUAGGGUGCAAGCGUUAUCCGGAAUUAUUGGGCGUAAAGAGCUCGUAGGCGGUUUGUCGCGUCUGCUGUGAAAACUGGGGGCUCAACCCCCAGCCUGCAGUGGGUACGGGCAGACUAGAGUGCGGUAGGGGAGAUUGGAAUUCCUGGUGUAGCGGUGGAAUGCGCAGAUAUCAGGAGGAACACCGAUGGCGAAGGCAGAUCUCUGGGCCGUAACUGACGCUGAGGAACGAAAGCAUGGGGAGCGAACAGG
rnacentral:rRNA from 1 species